rnacentral:rRNA from 1 species
GACGAACGCUGGCGGCGUGCUUAAUACAUGCAAGUCAACUUGACUUUAGAUAGCAAUAUCGAAAAGUAGGGUGGCGCACGGGUGCGUAACGCGUAGGUAUCUGCCCUGAGGUCUGACAUAACCCGUCGAAAGGCGGGCUAACAUCAGAUGAUAUAUAAUCACGACAUCGUGGAAAUAUCAAAUCUUCGGAGCCUUGGGAUGAGCCUGCGUCUGAUUAGGUAGUUGGCGGAGUAAUAGCCCACCAAGCCUACGAUCAGUAGCUGGUCUGAGAGGAUGAUCAGCCACACUGGAACUGAGACACGGUCCAGACUCCUACGGGAGGCAGCAGUAAGGAAUAUUGCUCAAUGGGGGAAACCCUGAAGCAGCAACGCCGCGUGAAGGAUGAAAUACUUUUGUAUGUAAACUUCUGUAAGAUGGGAAAAAUAUUCUCCUCGGGAGAAUUGAUUGUACCAUCAGAGUAAGCCCCGGCUAACUACGUGCCAGCA